GGCAACAACAAGCAAUGCGAUUGGUCCCAUCAACCAUCGCUCCUGAUGAUUUAACAGCGUGGUUACCAUCUAACUGCGCCUCUGAUUGGACAAUAGUCAUGCACCACUGAGCGCUAAACCCUCACACCCCAUGCUUAGCCAAGGGGUCAAUGUGAUCAGGUGCCCUGUGACGUGCGCAGGCGCAGGGCUACGGCCGGUGGUUGCGCGUGGCGUUGUCCGGCUUGGAGCUUGAGUCCCCGCAGAGCCGGGCAGCCUCGCCGGGGACCCCGGUCCCAGCCCUGCCGGCAGCCUCGGCGCGGCCGCGCGUGACCUCCGCACGCCAGCAGCCGCCGGGCCCUGCGCCGUUCGGGGCGUGUCACUCCGCGACAGACACCGCCGUGGCGUCCCGCCGCCGCGGCACAGCGCAGAUCAGCUUCGCGGCCGCGCGCCGGGUUUCCGAGCUAAUCCCGUGGUUAUGACCCGGACCUAGGUUAAAAAUAAGUGCACCCUAGUCCCCAAGCUCCUUUGGUACAUUCACCUGUAGCUUCCAGACCCUCAUCUGGUGAAGCUCACAAAAAUACCAGGUCUGCUGUCCACAAGGGAAACAGUGUACAUACCAACUUGUAUGAUUCAACUCAGGAUCAGCAGGUUGCUUAACAUCACAGCACUUAGAUGUAUUUAUAGUGAAAAUGGAUAAAUUUAUUACCAAAAGGUUCAAGAUUCAAGAGAUAGUGAGUAAGGAUAAUGGAAAUAAAAGGUUUCAGAGUAGCAGCUGUGUUACUUGUAUCCGCAAAAAGAAAAUGAGUAUUUGUGGCACCUUAGAGACUAACAAAUGUAUUUGAGCAUAAGCUUUUGUGAACUAGAGCUCACUUCAUCGGAUGCAUGCAGUGGAAAAUACAGUGGGGAGAUUUUAUAUACCCAGAGAAUAUGAAACAAUGGGUGUUACCAUAUACACUGUAACGAGAAAAGGAGUCCAUCUUUGUGUGGAAUGUUGGUGUAGAGAGCGUCUAUAUCCAUAGUGGCUAGGAUGGUGUUUUCAGGAAGAUCACCUGCUGAAGUGAAGAAACAGAUUCACAGAGCCAGAAGAGUACCCAGAAGUUACCUACUACAGGACAGGCCCAACAAAGAAAAUAACAGAAUGCCACUAGCCAUCACCUUCAGCCCCCAACUAAAACCUCUCCAACGCAUCAUCAAGGAUCUACAACCUAUCCUGAAGGACAGCCCUCACUCUCACAGAUCUUGGGAGACAGGCCAGUCCCUGCUUCCAGACAGCCCCCCAACCUGAUGCAAAUACUCACCUGCAACCACACAACAGAACCACUAACUCAGGAACCUAUCCUUGCAACAAAGCCCGUUGCCAACUGUGGCCACAUAUUUAUUCAGGGGACACCAUCAUAGGGCCUAAUCGUAUCAGCCACAUCUAUCAGAGGCUCGUUCACCUGCACAUCUGUCAAUGUGAUAUAUGCAAUCAUGUGCCAGCGAUGUUCCUCUGCCAUGUACAUUGGCCAAACUGGACAGUCUCUACGUAAAAGGAAUAAAUGGACACAAAUCAGACGUCAAGAAUUAUAACAUUCAAAAACCAGUCGGAGAACAUUUCAAUCUCUCUGGUCACUCGAUUACAGACCUAAAAGUGGCAAUUCUUCAACAAAAAAACAGACUCCAAUGAGAGACUGCUGAAUUGGAAUUAAUUUGCAAACUGGACACCAUUAACUUAGGCUUGAAUAAAGACUGGGAGUGGAUGUGUCAUUACACAAAGUAAUACUAUUUCUCCAUGUUUUUCCCCGCACACACACUGUUCCUCGGACGUUCUUGUCAACUGCUGGAAAUGGCCCACCUUGAUUAACACUACAAAAGGUUUUUUUUUUCUCUCCUGCUGGUAAUAGCUCACCUUACCUGAUCACUCGAAGUGAGCUGUAGCUCAUGAAAGUUUAUGGUCAAAUAAAUUUGUUAGUCUCUAAGGUGCCUCAAGUACUCCUUUUCUCAUUACAAUGUGUAUGGUAACACCCAUAGUUUCAUAUUCUCUGGGUAUAUAAAAUCUCCCCACUGUAUUUUCCACUGCAUGCAUCCGAUGAAGUGAGCUGAAAGCUUAUGCUCAAAUAAAUUGGUUAGUCUCUAAGGUGCCACAAGUACUCUUUUUUUGGAAAUAAAAGGUUACAUAUAAAACAAAAUCAUAACAUGCUUUCUGGAAACGAAACUUAACAGGCUAACCUCCUGUCCAAAGAAUUCUUAUCUCACCCAAAGUCUUCUGCAGCAUUUCCAACCAAGGCUGGUUUAGAUCCCAUUUUCAUGAAUGUAAACACAUUGCCUGUUUACUUCCUAGCUGCAAGAUGAUGGAAUGUCUUCUUUGUUCUGCAAAUAUACCUUUGAAAUUGUG